rnacentral:rRNA from 1 species
AAUAUUGGACAAUGGGGGCAACCCUGAUCCAGCCAUGCCGCGUGUGUGAAGAAGGUCUUCGGAUUGUAAAGCACUUUAAGUUCGGAGGAAAGGCUUUCGGUUAAUAGCCUGAAGAUUUGACGUUACCAACAGAAUAAGCACAGGCUAAUUCUGUCCCAGCAGCCGCGGUAAUACAGAGGGUGCAAGCGUUAAUCGGAAUUACUGGGUGUAAAGGGUGCGUAGGUGGUUUAAUAAGAUGGGUGUGAAAUUCCCGGGCUUAACCAGGGAACUGCUUUCAUAACUGCUGAGCUAGAGUACGGUAGAAGGUAGUGGAAUUUCCUGUGUAGCGGCGAAAUGCGUAGAUAUAGGAAGGAACACCAGUGGCGAAGGCGACUACCUGGACUGAGACUGACACUGAGGUGCGAAAGCGUGGGGAGCAAACA